AUUCCUUUUCCACACCAUGUGGGAUAAAACAGAUUUAUUCUGGUAAAGAAGUCCUUGUUGUUCCAGAUAUAACAUCUACGGGGCUGAAGUUAUGUUUAGAAACCAAUAACCAGAUAAAAGAGCUUGUUUGUGGAAGUCAGCCGGAUUUAAAGGAAUUUUACCAACAGAAAAAUGAGCUUUCAACAGAAAAUUAAAGCCACCAGGAUGAUUAAACAGAGAAGCUGGAAAAGUGUUCCAGAUGCUGUCGGGUUCUUCAGAAAUUCCAGAAUCCGUUUCAUUUUAAAUGUGUUGUUUAGGGAGUUAAAGUCCAGAACCUCUAGACCUCCUUGUUCCCUACAACCUCUGAUGAUGUCUUUCCUGAGAUAACGGG